rnacentral:rRNA from 1 species
CGGGAAGAGCUCAAAUUUAUAAUCUGGCACCUUCGGUGUCCGAGUUGUAAUCUCUAGAAAUGUUUUCCGCGUUGGACCGCACACAAGUCUGUUGGAAUACAGCGGCAUAGUGGUGAGACCCCCGUAUAUGGUGCGGACGCCCAGCGCUUUGUGAUACAUUUUCGAAGAGUCGAGUUGUUUGGGAAUGCAGCUCAAAUUGGGUGGUAAAUUCCAUCUAAAGCUAAAUAUUGGCGAGAGACCGAUAGCGAACAAGUACCGUGAGGGAAAGAUGAAAAGCACUUUGGAAAGAGAGUUAACAGUACGUGAAAUUGUUGGAAGGGAAACGCUUGAAGUCAGACUUGCUUGCCGAGCAAUCGGUUUGCAGGCCAGCAUCAGUUUUCCGGGAUGGAUAAUGGUAGAGAGAAGGUAGCAGUUUCGGCUGUGUUAUAGCUCUCUGCUGGAUACAUCUUGGGGGACUGAGGAACGCAGUGUGCCUUUGGCGGGGGUUUC